CUCGCUCAAAAGGCUAUAUCUCGUAAUAUAUUCAAUUAUCGAAAUUUGUUGAAAUCAUUUUAUUUUGACGAAUAGUAUAGCCUUGCCUUCCGCCGUUUAUUAUUUUGUUAUACCCGAUAAAAGCUCUGCUUUUUUGUUUUGAAAUUCGCAAGCCGGUGCGUUAAUAUGCAUAUUAUAAUAUUACUUCGCGGUCGAAAAGUGAUAUUCCAUUCGCUUGCCAAACUCGAAAUAUUUAUUGCCUUCCUACAUGUUUGGUACCAAAAUACUCGUCGAAAUCUUCUCUUUUCGUUCCCGUAAUCAUUGCUUAGCUACACCCCGAGCCUGGUAAACUAAAGGCCACAACUUGAGUGCAUACUUCAUGCUUUGCUUUAUAAACAACACCCACGCGAAUAUUUGAAAUUCCGGAUGCUUUGAUAGGU